rnacentral:rRNA from 1 species
UGGGGAAUAUUGCACAAUGGGCGCAAGCCUGAUGCAGCCAUGCCGCGUGUGUGAAGAAGGCCUUCGGGUUGUAAAGCACUUUCAGCGGGGAGGAAGGCGUUAAGGUUAAUAACCUUGGCGAUUGACGUUACCCGCAGAAGAAGCACCGGCUAACUCCGUGCCAGCAGCCGCGGUAAUACGGAGGGUGCAAGCGUUAAUCGGAAUUACUGGGCGUAAAGCGCACGCAGGCGGUCUGUCAAGUCGGAUGUUAAAUCCCCGGGCUCAAACUGGGAACUGCAUUUGAAACUGGCAGGCUAGGGUCUUGUAGGGGGGGGUAGAAUUCCAGGUGGAGCGGUGAAAUGCGUAGGGAUCUGGAGGAAUACCGGUGGCGAAGGCGGCCCCCUGGACAAAGACUGAAGCUCAGGUGCGAAAGCGUGGGGAGCAAACAGG